UACCAUGCAGUCGACGAUGAUCCCAGCUUGCUGGGGGAUUAGUGGCGAACGGGUGAGUAACACGUGAGUAACCUGCCCUUGACUCUGGGAUAAGCCUGGGAAACUGGGUCUAAUACCGGAUACGACCAUUCCACGCAUGUGGUGGUGGUGGAAAGCUUUUGUGGUUUUGGAUGGACUCGCGGCCUAUCAGCUUGUUGGUGGGGUAAUGGCCUACCAAGGCGACGACGGGUAGCCGGCCUGAGAGGGUGACCGGCCACACUGGGACUGAGACACGGCCCAGACUCCUACGGGAGGCAGCAGUGGGGAAUAUUGCACAAUGGGCGCAAGCCUGAUGCAGCGACGCCGCGUGAGGGAUGACGGCCUUCGGGUUGUAAACCUCUUUCAGUAGGGAAGAAGCGAAAGUGACGGUACCUGCAGAAGAAGCGCCGGCUAACUACGUGCCAGCAGCCGCGGUAAUACGUAGGGCGCAAGCGUUAUCCGGAAUUAUUGGGCGUAAAGAGCUCGUAGGCGGUUUGUCGCGUCUGCUGUGAAAGACCGGGGCUCAACUCCGGUUCUGCAGUGGGUACGGGCAGACUAGAGUGCAGUAGGGGAGACUGGAAUUCCUGGUGUAGCGGUGAAAUGCGCAGAUAUCAGGAGGAACACCGAUGGCGAAGGCAGGUCUCUGGGCUGUAACUGACGCUGAGGAGCGAAAGCAUGGGGAGCGAACAGGAUUAGAUACUC
rnacentral:rRNA from 1 species